GAUGAACGCUAGCUACAGGCUUAACACAUGCAAGUCGAGGGGCAGCACGGUGUAGCAAUACAUGGGUGGCGACCGGCGCACGGGUGCGUAACGCGUAUCCAACUUUCCCGAUACUCUUGGAUAGCCUUCCGAAAGGGAGAUUAAUACAAGAUGGUGUUUCACUUUCGCAUGUCAUUGAAACUAAAGAUUUAUCGGUAUCGGAUAGGGAUGCGUGACAUUAGGUAGAUGGCGGGGUAACGGCCCACCAUGCCCACGAUGUCUAGGGGUUCUGAGAGGAAGGUCCCCCACACUGGAACUGAGACACGGUCCAGACUCCUACGGGAGGCAGCAGUGAGGAAUAUUGGUCAAUGGUCUGACGACUGAACCAGCCAUGCCGCGUGAAGGUCACGGCCCUAUGGGUCUUAAACUUCUUUUGUAAGGGAGCAAUAAGUCUCACGUGUGGGAUGAUGAGAGUACCUUACGAAUAAGCAUCGGCUAACUCCGUGCCAG
rnacentral:rRNA from 1 species